AAUAUAUUUUCUCCAUUGGAAAUAAAUACAUUUUGCACCCUAGUCAUGAUUAUUAGUGUGUAUAGUGAUCAUACUGGCUGCACAUAAGCUGACCUUUGACCUCUGGAUGUAAUGUUUCUGCAAAGGCAUGCGAACAGAUGCUAACCUGAUUUUUUUUCCACUGUUUACUGUAGGUGCAUCAUCCCUAUGUGAGGAAAGUCUAGUUAAUAUGGCGGCGAUGAGGUAAACAGGAAGUGAUGGAGUGGCAGACCCACAGGGGAUAACCACAUGAGGGGUGACAGACCACUGACAUCAGCCCUUGUUCUCUUUCUCGCUCGCUCACUUACUCAACACCCCCCCCCCCCCACCCCCUACACUCAUUUCCAGGAAGGGGUCAUUAAUGUGGGAGAAAAAACGAAUCCAGUCAUGGCUUUAAAAUGGAGUAUCUUGUCAUAGAGAUGCAAUCAUUCCUAACGGGUCUGAGUCAGGCUGCAGAUCUCACAGGAGAACAGCACAAUGAAGCUUUUAAUUCCUCCAUUAAGGAGACAAAAUACAUCAUUUUAUUAUUAAAGCAUGGUUUGUAGGGGAAAAAACAGCUCCCUUAAGUGGUAGCAGGGUUCAUCUUAAACUGACCAAUAAACCGAGAAAAUUAUCCACUUUUCGUUCUCUUCAACAUACUCUUAUAAAACUACAGCAGUAACAUCUAGCAGAUCUAACAUCCGUACAGUAGUUAAAUGUUCACAUUUAACAGUCGUAAUUGACAUUUUCCCUCGCUCCCUUCAGCAAUGAUAUAUCAAAGAGUGCAUCAGCCGCCGGAGGAGGAGAGAAAACAUUAGGAGGAUUAAUAAAGGGGGGGAGGAAAAUAGAUUGAGCGUUCACCAAGACCAGUAAAAUAGGAUCUGUCAAGCAACCCUGCAACAUCCAUCCUGUGGAGAGAGAGAAAAAAAAGACAGAGGUACAUUUUCAUGGAUGGAAGGAAGGAAAAACAGAGGACAAGCCCGUGCAGCUGAUCAAUUUCCCUAGAUUAGCUUUCAGCGGCUGUGCCUGCUUCCAUUUGUAAAGAUAAUAUUAUUUAAUAACCCUUUUGGGUGACUAUUUAAAUUAUCAUACUGCCUACAGUGCAAGGCGCUAAUGGAAAUAUUUAACAUAAAUUCCCUUUAAAAAAUGACGCCUUAAACAACAGUUGUAAGAAUUAUUCUGAAAUUAAAGGAGUGUGCAUAAAUGAUUCUCCCUGGCCUUGAUGUGUUGUUCUCAAUUACAUUUUGCUGAACUGGAACGAUGCUAGCACGGUGCUUUAUCGUGCAUAUAUAUGCGCUGUUACAAAUGUCAUAUGGAAGCUAUUUAUGGCCACAAGCAUUGGUGCCAAGGGCAUAGAAAACAGGGAUGUUAUUGAAUAAAUUCAGCAGUACAACGAUAGAUUAGGUAGAGCCCUGCCUUCGCGAAGUUCCACCUGAGAAAUGAUAGCUUGGCUUUUGUUGUGCGCCUUCAAAGACAGACAUCUGAAAGUCUGAAAUGAAGAGACAAAGCUAUAAGCAUUCCUUGGUCUUAUUCACCUUCAACUUCUUUUUAAUGAUCUCAUUUCAUAACACCUUCCUGCGGACCUCCCCUUUCCUGUCUGGCUAACGCCAAAUUGCAUAAUGCCAACUGAACACUUGCAUUUGUUCUCCCUUUCCCUUCUCAGGAAAUCUAUUUAAAUUGUCACGCCAACUGUCAGUCCGUAUCAGACCUUGAUUUAUGCAAAAACAACGUCUGCUUUAAUUAGUCAUUUCGCCUCACUGCUGUCUGUGCUCUAGGCGGCGAGCUGGGUCAGACAUUCGGAGGAACCUCCUUUUUGUAUGAUCAAAACUAGGCCAUCAGCAACACCGUGAUAAUAGCCGUGUCUCAACACCCCAGCAACACGUGAGAGUGUGUGUUCGAGUGUGUUUUUAUCCCCCAUGAGCCAUCCAUCUCCACUCAGCAGGGUGGUUUUGGGUGGAGCACGGAUAAUCACAGCAGUCACUAUACACCUGGAGGACUGGAAAAUAGUAAACAACUAACAGGUAGUUUUUCCUGUCAGCUCUCUAUACUUUCCCAGGCACUUGAGAGAGAGAGAGAAAAAAAGGAAAAGGAGGAAUGUUUACACAGCAAUCUAACACUAAUCAAGAGAGAAUUAGCAAGAAUGCACCACAUUAUGCACUUGUACGGGUUUAGUGUCCGUGAUCUUCAAAAAAUGAAAGUACACUACACCAUGUGUUUUUGCUCGUUUCGGAUUGCGACACUUCUUGAUUAUCCCAAUUGCAAUCACAUAGAGCAAACAAAAGUAGCUGAAACCUCGUGCUGAUUUCAGAUGGAAAACUCACCGAACAGAUGCUCAGAAGAGAGCGACUCUCUUGUCAGAUGUUGGGGAAGUGCGUGGUCUGUGCGCAGCUUUGCUGACUGAAGUGGCAUUGUGUCCUUUGUGAAAGCAUGGCCCUCUGAGGUGCGUUCAUGUGUUGUGAACCUCGGCCAGGGGAAAAAAAAGCAAGAGGCUGAUGGAGACCAGGGGAAGGCGUGGGAAAGCAACUAGAGAACUAGUGAACGGAGGCCGGUGGAAAAGCCAAGCGAUCUGCAGGCAUUCCUUUGUGAUUACACAUCUGAGGAGAAAGAGGCCAGACAUUCUUUCAGCCAUGUCUGAAGCUACUGACUUCUACCCUGUUGUUUUUUUUCUUAUCUGUAAAAAGAAAGAAACUCAGCUGUGACCAUUUUAUUUGGUGAAUGCAGUCUGUGUUUCCUAAUACAGAAGCAUGACGUGGCCUGUAUCAGCCCCUUUCAACUUUUACAACUUAAAGUCCCAAAAAAAUCAAGCAGAGAGUGGAAGCUCAUGUCCUUGCUCUCAAAAAAGAUACAAGAUAUUUGACGCCGGGCACCCAUGUUCAGCGCUUCCUUCCUCUUUCGCAAACAUAAACCUUAGAAGUCUUCCUUAAUCCAGUCAUCCACUGGUGGGAGGCCGAACAUGACAGCAGACGGACAAGGCAAACACUGGUGGGGGUGGUGCUUGUGCUCCGGCUUUGUUCUGAUGGUGACCUCUUCAUUAUAGGGCCUUUGUCACCAUGUAAGGAUUAAGAGUGAAAGAGAGCUCUUCCUCUAUCACACAGAGUUAAAAUCUGUCUCCUAAUCAAAUGUUCUUCCAUAUGUGCACAUCAGGGCAUGAGGCAGGAAUCUUUACUAUUUUAAAUUUUAAAGAUGUUUCCUCUCAUCCUACUCUUUAAAAAUGGAUCUGAGUACACAGCAGUGGACUUCUGUAAAGUAAACCAGUUAUUAAAUAAAGUACUUCUUAAGUAGCUUAUCUUUGGCUAUGAUCAAUGACCCAAUUAUAAAGAAUUCAUUUAAUAUUCUCGAGAAAUUAAGUCAAAAGGCAUGCUGUUUAAUUAAUUUAACUGUUCAGUCAAAAAAAUGGAUGCAAUUGAAAACGCAUUUUGUAUCAGCUAUCAGUCCUCCUAGACUCAGAAAUUGAUUUUUCCCCCUUCGAAGCUUGUGUGCAUAAUGACAAAUUGUUUGCCUCAGUUAAUCAAAUAGCAAUAUGAAUAUAGUUAGUGUAUUUUAAGACCUUAUAGCUUGUAAAGCAACAUUUUAGUUUGCAUUGUUCUCAUUAAUGUCUUAUUAUCACACGUGCAAUAUUUUAAUUACCACUGUGACAGAAUAAAUGCCAUGUGGCUGUGAGCAAACACAAGUGAAACGGUGCAGUUAUUACUGUAUCAGAUGCAUUAUGCCUCCCUCUACUGGACAAUUAGACAAACUCUUUAACAAAUGCCAUUGUGUUCAGUUUAAUUGUUCGGUUUAAUUAAUUCGUAUUUACACUGAACGACACUAGAAAAAUUACUAUUAUUUACCAGAAUUUAUUUCACACUACUGCCUUUGUAUGCCACCUGCAUUUUUAAGUUUUACAACAUAACUUUAAUUAUUCAGUGACCAACAUUAUAUAACACUAUGACGGACAACUAACAGAAAAAGAAAAAAGUCAAAACCCCAAGUGUAAACACACAAGUACAUUUGUAGACAAAAUUCUGAAUAAAGUGUAUAAACAAUUUAAAUAAUAAAGCAUACAAAUAUUUAAA